UAUAACAGAAGGAAAGGCUUCAAGCUAAUGACACCCUUUAAUAAAGGUCUGGUCACUUGGGGUAUACCGUGGAUUUAUCAUCAAGAAGAGCAGAAUCCUGGCAUGAAACUUUAAUGUCAACACAUAUAAGAAAAAGUUUGCUGAGCUAGAAGCGGUGGCUGAAGCCUAUAAUCCCAGCACUUUGGGAAGCUGAGGUGAGCAGAUCACUUGAGUCCAGGAGUUUGAGACC